rnacentral:rRNA from 1 species
GACGAACGCUGGCGGCGUGCUUAACACAUGCAAGUCGAACGAUGAACCCGGAGCUUGCUCCGGUGGAUUAGUGGCGAACGGGUGAGUAACACGUGAGUAACCUGCCCUUGACUCUGGGAUAACUGCGGGAAACUGUAGCUAAUACCGGAUACGACCCUCGGCGGCAUCGCCAGGGGGUGGAAAGAAUUUCGGUCAAGGAUGGACUCGCGGCCUACCAGCUAGUUGGUGAGGUAACGGCUCACCAAGGGGACGACGGGUAGCCGGCCUGAGAGGGUGACCGGCCACACUGGGACUGAGACACGGCCCAGACUCCUACGGGAGGCAGCGGUGGGGAAUAUUGCACAAUGGGCGCAAGCCUGAUGCAGCAACGCCGCGUGAGGGAUGACGGCCUUCGGGUUGUAAACCUCUUUUAGUAGGGAAGAAGCGAAAGUGACGGUACCUGCAGAAAAAGCACCGGCUAACUACGUGCCAGCAGCCGCGGUAA